CUAUAAUGCAAGUCGAGCGAACGGAUAAGGAGCUUGCUCCUUUGAAGUUAGCGGCGGACGGGUGAGUAACACGUGGGUAACCUACCUAUAAGACUGGGAUAACUUCGGGAAACCGGAGCUAAUACCGGAUAACAUUUAGAACCGCAUGGUUCUAAAGUGAAAGAUGGUUUUGCUAUCACUUAUAGAUGGACCCGCGCCGUAUUAGCUAGUUGGUAAGGUAACGGCUUACCAAGGCGACGAUACGUAGCCGACCUGAGAGGGUGAUCGGCCACACUGGAACUGAGACACGGUCCAGACUCCUACGGGAGGCAGCAGUAGGGAAUCUUCCGCAAUGGGCGAAAGCCUGACGGAGCAACGCCGCGUGAGUGAUGAAGGGUUUCGGCUCGUAAAACUCUGUUAUUAGGGAAGAACAAAUGUGUAAGUAACUGUGCACAUCUUGACGGUACCUAAUCAGAAAGCCACGGCUAACUACGUGCCAGCAGCCGCGGUAAUACGUAGGUGGCAAGCGUUAUCCGGAAUUAUUGGGCGUAAAGCGCGCGUAGGCGGUUUCUUAAGUCUGAUGUGAAAGCCCACGGCUCAACCGUGGAGGGUCAUUGGAAACUGGGAAACUUGAGUGCAGAAGAGGAAAGUGGAAUUCCAUGUGUAGCGGUGAAAUGCGCAGAGAUAUGGAGGAACACCAGUGGCGAAGGCGACUUUCUGGUCUGUAACUGACGCUGAUGUGCGAAAGCGUGGGGAUCAAACAGGAUUAGAUACCCUGGUAGUCCACGCCGUAAACGAUGAGUGCUAAGUGUUAGGGGGUUUCCGCCCCUUAGUGCUGCAGCUAACGCAUUAAGCACUCCGCCU
rnacentral:rRNA from 1 species